rnacentral:sRNA from 1 species
UAGGGUUGCGCCAGAUGCAAAUCGGCCGAUCCUGCUCACACGAUCGGCCGAUUUGCAUCUGCCGCAUCCUUUAGUAAAGAGUUAAAAAGAGACUUUGUGUCUCUUUUUUAUUUGGAAA